AAGUCGUAACAAGGUUUCCGUAGGUGAACCUGCGGAAGGAUCAUUGUCGAAAUGGAACGGAAGAACGACCCGCGAAUCGUCAUUGCGUACUAGGCAGAGCCCGUGAGCGCCUAACACGCUCAUGGGGCUCGCGUCGCGUCGGCGCGGGUGUACUGGAGACUCGCGUCGUACCGGCGGACAAACAAUGUCAGCACGGAUCGUGCCAAGGAGCUUUAUGGAGAGAAUCGUCGUCCCACGCCUUUGAUAGUCCUCGAUGCGGGACGGGGGGCGGGGGAUGUACGCAAUCCCUACUCAAGUCUAAACGACUCUCGGCAACGGAUAUCUCGGCUCUUGCAUCGAUGAAGAACGUAGCGAAAUGCGAUACUUGGUGUGAAUUGCAGAAUCCCGCGAACCAUCAAUUCUUUGAACGCAAGUUGCGCCCGAAGCCAUUCGGCUGAGGGCACGCCUGCCUGGGUGUCGUGAAUCCCCUUGCCCCUAGGCACCCCGCAGGAGCAUUGGCGGGGAUAUAUGCUCGGGCGUAGAAUAUGGUCUCCCGUGGGAGGGUGACGGACCGGACCCAAGUUCACUGGAAGGUGGCGCCGGAGAGGGUGAGAGCCCCGUCGUGUCCGGACCCUGU
rnacentral:rRNA from 1 species